rnacentral:lncRNA from 1 species
CUUUAUACUCCACUAUGCAGAAAUAGAAUCCCUCACCAUAAAUGAAUCAAGGAGUUACUAUCUAUCUACAAAUAAUAUUAGGAAUAUGGAAUAUGGCCUUAUGUUUAUUUAGAUCACAAUUUUAAGCUAAUAUUCUACAUGUGUUUCAGUGUCAAGUGUCAAUUUUAAAUAUGUAUAUUUUAAGAACAUAUGUUGUGGGAUAUCCUUCAUUAUAGAGUGGCAUUUUUUAAUUGAAAUGGUGAUGCAUAUAAUCUGAUUAUGUUAAAAACCACUGAUAAUCUCAUUUUUGCUUGGUUCAACCACUUUACCCCCAUUUUCUCUAACUAUCAUAAUAUGAUACCAUUAUUAAUUUUCAUAUCCCUUGAUCACAUUCUUAGGUAUUUGGAUCGUGGAGAAUAAAGAUAGUGAAGGUAUUUAAAUUAUCUUCCCAAUUUAUUAUUUAAAUUAUUUCAGUUGAGGUUUUUGUUUUAACUUUCCAAUUUGGUGUUUUAACUUCCCAAUUUGUUUUAACUUCCCAAUUUUGUUUUAACUUCCCAAUAAAAUGCAACCCAAUGCAUGAAUCCCCCGGCCCCAUGAAAAUCUUUUAAAAAUGCAAGUCAUGUAAUAAAUAAAAUGCAACCCAUGUAAUAAAAUGCAACCCAAUUUCCUAUCUCUUAUGUCACACAAGUAGCACUUUACAAUGAAAAUCGUGUGAUCAUAUGCCCCCGGCCCCCAUUAUCAGUCUGUAAAAAUUUAAUCGUAGUGUUUAGAUUAUUUUCCGAGCUGAGCCGAGCCAAGCUGAGCCUGACAAGCCCUAGCUGAGCCGAGCCAAGCUGAGCUUGACAAGCCCUAGCUGAGCCGAGCUGAGCCGAGCCAAGCUGAGUCUGACAUGUCCUAGCUGAGCCGAGCCAAGCUGAGUCUGACAUGUCCUAGCUGAGCCGAGCCAAGCUGAGCUUGACAAGCCCUAGCUGAGCCGAGCCGAGCCAAGCUGAGCUUGACAUAAGCCCUAGCUGAGCAGAGCCGAGCCAAGCUGAGCUUGACAAGCCCUAGCUGAGCCGAGCCAAGCUGAGCUUGACAAGCCCUAGCUGAGCCGAGCUGAGCCUAGCCAAGCUGAGCCUGCAAAGCCCUAGCUGAGCCUGCAAAGCCUUUCUUAUUAUGAUUUAUUUUUUUAUUUUUCAUGAUAUAUUUUUCAUGAAACUCAUGCGGACAUGCAACUCAUUUUUGCAUGUUUCAAUUAUUUUAUAGAAUGGCCGGCAAUGAUCAAAAUAUAACGAUUUUUUAUGUGAUGAUCUUUUUUUGUUAUAGUUAAUAGAAUUAUGUCAUGAUUUUUUCCAGAAAUGUCACGUGGACAAGGACGUAAGCGUGGUCAAAUACGUCGACAACGACAAUCUGUCGACAAUCAGGUGGAAUCAGCUCGUCGAUGUACUAGAAAAUUUACAAAAGGAAUUCCACAACCUUCAACACCAUUUCCUGGAGUUGUUUUUCAAUCUGGGUAUGUAAUUCAUUUCAAAAUCAAAUAAUGAAAUAACUUUCUUUUCAUUAUAUUAAUUGAACUUAAAAUUUAACUUACAGAACAUUUCCAAAUGAUNN